UACGGAGGAUGCAAGCGUUAUCCGGAAUGAUUGGGCGUAAAGCGUCCGCAGGUGGCUGUGUAAGUCUGCUGUCAAAGAGCAAAGCUCAACUUUGUAAAGGCAGUGGAAACUACACGGCUAGAGUGCGUUCGGGGCAGAGGGAAUUCCUGGUGUAGCGGUGAACUGCGUAGAGAUCAGGAAGAACACCGGUGGCGAAGGCGCUCUGCUAGGCCGCAACUGACACUGAGGGACGAAAGCUAGGGGAGCGAAUGGG
rnacentral:rRNA from 1 species